rnacentral:lncRNA from 1 species
CACAUGUUGAGGGAGGAACCCACGGGGAGGUGAUUCAAUCAUGGAUUCCCCCAUUGCUCUUCUCAUGAUAGCUAGUGAAUUCUCACAAGAUCUGAUGGUUUUAUAACCAUCUGGCAUUUCCCCUGCUUGCACUCCUCCCUACUGCCACCAUGUGGAGAAGGUCCUUGCUUCACCUUUGCUUUCUGGCAUGAUUGGCACAGAAACUCUCUCCACUGCAGCCGAGGAUUGCAGGAGAAGUGGCAUCAGUGAUUCAAGACUGUUUUUCCUACCUCU